rnacentral:lncRNA from 1 species
GAAAAUUCCAUGAUUUUGGGGGAUCCCACAAAACUUUCGAUUUCAUUUCACGAACAAACCCCAAAACAUUCAAUCCCUGCCGCUCCCCACUCCCAAAACCUCCUAAAACCCCCCAAAAAACCCCAAAACCUUUCACUUCACCUCUUUAUUUUCCCCUUUUCCAUUAUUUUUCCCAUCCCCUGAUAACUUUUAUAACAUUUUAAUUCACUUUUUAAUAUUUUUAGGCGACGAUUCUUGGGAUUUAAUCACCUGCUACUGCCAAAAACCUUUUGCUGGUCGGCCCAUGAUCGAGUGUAGCCAAUGUGGCACCUGGAUUCACCUUUCCUGUGCCAAGCGGCGACAGCGGCGACAGCGGCGACAUGGCCGGGCUGGGGCUGGGAGCGGGGCUGCGGCUGCUGCGGCGGAUCCCGCCCGGGUGAGGAUUUGAGUGGGGGGAACACCAAAAUUUGGGAUUUGGGGGGGAUUCUGAGAAGGUUCUGGAAGUUUGGGGGGUCCUGAGGUUUUGGGGGCGCUGGGAUUUUUUGGGGUUUUUUUGAAUUUUGGGGGUUUUUUGGGGGGGGGCUCUCGGAAUUGGGGGUUUUGAAGGUUCUGGAAGUUUGGGGGUUCGGAUUGAGGAAUUUGAGGGGAGCUUUUGGGGGGGGAUCCCAAAUCUUGUGGGGAUUUUGGGGAUCCCCCAGAAUUUGAGGAGGAGGGGGAUGGGAAUUUGGGGGAGAGGGGUCUCAGAGUUGUUUAUUUUUGGGGGAAUCCUUUUUUAAAACCCCCUCAAUUCACAGAUUUGGGGCGCCCCGGCUGCAGAGCACGCACGAGGCGCAGGUAAGAAAACCUCCAAAAUUCCAGAAAAUUCCACAAAAUUCCACAGAAUUCCACAGAAUUCCACAAAAUUCCAGCCCCAAAUCCUUCCCAAAUCCCUUUAAAAAAAGGAUCCCAAAGAAAACCCCGCCCUUCCCUCACGCGCGUGACGUCAGAACUGGGGCAAAGGGCGGGAAGUGGAAACUGGGGGAAAGGUCAAGGGGGGGGAUUUGGGGGAUCCUGAGGGGAUUUGAGGGAUCCUGAGGGGAUUU